CAGCAGCCGCGGUAAUACGGAGGAUGCAAGCGUUAUCCGGAUUCAUUGGGUUUAAAGGGUGCGCAGGCGGGCUGUUAAGUCAGUGGUGAAAUACUGCCGCUCAACGGUAGAACUGCCAUUGAUACUGCAAGUCUUGAAUAUGGUUGAGGUAGGCGGAAUGUGUCGUGUACCGGUGAAAUGCAUAGAUAUGACACAGAACGCCGAUUGCGAAGGCAGCUUACUAAGCCAUUAUUGACGCUGAGGCACGAAAGCGUGGGGAGCGAACAGGAUUAGAUACCCUGGUAGUCCACGCCGUAAACGAUGUUCACUCGCUGUCUGCGAAUACACAGUAGGCGGCUUAGCGAAAGCAUUAAGUGAACCACCUGGGGAGUACGAUCGCAAGGUUGAAACUCAAAGGAAUUGACGGGGGCCCGCACAAGCGGAGGAACAUGUGGUUUAAUUCGAUGAUACGCGAGGAACCUUACCUGGGCUUAAAUGUAGAUUGCAUAACUUAGAAAUAGGUUUUCCCUUCGGGGCUAUUUACAAGGUGCUGCAUGGUUGUCGUCAGCUCGUGCCGUGAGGUGUCGGGUUAAGUCCCAUAACGAGCGCAACCCCUAUCGUUAGUUGCCAGCGGAUAAUGCCGGGGACUCUAGCGAGACUGCCACCGUAAGGUGAGAGGAAGGUGGGGAUGACGUCAAAUCAGCACGGCCCUUAUGUCCAGGGCUACACACGUGUUACAAUGGCCGAUACAAAGGGCAGCUACCUGGUGACAGGAUGCUGAUCUCUAAAGUCGGUCCCAGUUCGGAUUGGAGUCUGCAACCCGACUCCAUGAAGUUGGAUUCGCUAGUAAUCGGAUAUCAGCAAUGAUCCGGUGAAUACGUUCCCGGGCCUUGUACACACCGCCCGUCCAACCAUGGGAGCUGGGGGUGCCUGAAGUCUGUGACCGUAAGGAGCGGCCUAGGGUAAAACCAGUGACUGGGGUUAAGUCGUAACAAGGUAGCCGUA
rnacentral:rRNA from 1 species